rnacentral:ncRNA from 14 species
GAAUCUGUAUGUGACUGGCGCGAAGUGGAUAACCACAAGGGAGCAUACGGAUCAAAGCCGUGCGCCUGGGCAAAGGAA